rnacentral:lncRNA from 1 species
GAGCUCUUUUAGCAGCCUGAGUUACUAAACACCGCCUCUUCGACUGGGCCGGGCUGGGGAGGGGAGGGGGGUUUGAUCAUUACGUAACAAUAAAAGAUCUGUCUCUGGCUCCACUUCCUGAAUACCACAGCGCCUGGGCCUGCAAGAACGCACCAGCCAGGAACUCGGUCUGCAAGUUUGGGGCAGAGCUCGCUCUCUCUCUCUCUCUCUCUUGUUUACCUCCCUGAAAAACAUCCGCCGCCACUUCUCUUCUUCACAUGCGGAUGAUGCAGCAGGAGUGACGCAGCACUGUCAGCCCCUCAUCGGGCCUCCAGGGAAGGCCGGGGCGGCGGGAGUGGACUGGAGGAAGGGGCCCGGCACACACGGGAAGAGAAGAUGGAAGGAAAGAAUCUCCAAGCAAUUAUUGAGGUGUGAAAGAAACAAAUUGUGAAGAACAGCCACAAUAAUUCUGCAGAGCACCAGCAAAAAUCCACUGUGCAGGCAAGAUUACAAAACAUAAAAAAGGGGGGAAGGAUUUGGAUACUAGAAGACCAGAGGAGAAACUGACAUGAAGCAACAGUACAUAAUGGAGGAAUGACAGUGGUGACCCAAACACUGGUUCAGAACGUUCCCCACUGCUUUGGUAAGGUAGCACUGUUUUCUGUGACG